rnacentral:rRNA from 1 species
AUGAACGCUGGCGGCGUGCCUAAUACAUGCAAGUCGAGCGAACAGAUGAGGAGCUUGCUCCUCUGACGUUAGCGGCGGACGGGUGAGUAACACGUGGAUAACCUACCUAUAAGACUGGGAUAACUUCGGGAAACCGGAGCUAAUACCGGAUAAUAUAUUGAACCGCAUGGUUCAAUAGUGAAAGACGGUUUUGCUGUCACUUAUAGAUGGAUCCGCGCCGCAUUAGCUAGUUGGUAAGGUAACGGCUUACCAAGGCAACGAUGCGUAGCCGACCUGAGAGGGUGAUCGGCCACACUGGAACUUAGACACGGUCCAGACUCCUACGGGAGGCAGCAGUAGGGAAUCUUCCGCAAUGGGCGAAAGCCUGACGGAGCAACGCCGCGUGAGUGAUGAAGGUCUUCGGAUCGUAAAACUCUGUUAUUAGGGAAGAACAAAUGUGUAAGUAACUAUGCACGUCUUGACGGUACCUAAUCAGAAAGCCACGGCUAACUACGUG